CCAACAUUUGGCGCCUUAAUUUAUCCGCCGUCCGUUGCGGCUUUUGGCAAAAGAAGUUGAUUCGAAGGCGAGAUGAGUCGUCUUCAACCACGCCUCCCUGCGCACUCGUUUUCCGAUUGGUUUGUGGGACCAAAACUUUAUCCAGUUCAUAAUUUCAGUUCCUUUUCCCAUUUCAUCGACUCACAUUAACUCGUGAGAGGAAUCGCGUUCCAAGUUCAUACUCACUGUUUUGGUGUCUCCAUGUUAACUCUACAAUAUUCUAGCGACUGCUUUCUCAACGAUGCUCUGUUUGCUUUGACGCAAAAUGGUUCAGAAAACGUACCUGCUUCUUUACCAUGAGAGCUUUGCAGAUCAUUAAUAUGGCCAUCUGCUCUGUUUUCUUCAAUUAAUCAACAAGUUUUGAGUACAGCCUUCCCUUUUCAGAAAGGCCGUUUGUAACAACCCGGAUGGAUCCAACCUGACCUUUCAAUCAUUGCAGUGGCUUCCUUUUUCCUGCUCUAUGUUGUGGGCAGGUUUCAUUGGUAUGCCGUCUUAGUAUACAUGGAAUCUUGAUUCUGAAGAAUGAUUAGACCUUUCUUUAUUAUUCGUGGAGAUCAGGGACGACACCCUCCUGGAUAUUGGAACUCUCUCUUGGGCCGCGGUAACCUUUCUUCAUUUGCGGAUGAACAUCUCUUGCUUCAGCACAUUGAUACUACUACUAUUUCACAGGUUAAGCAACAUUAAGAAAUGGAGAGUCACGAGAGGAGUAGUGUAGAGCAGGAUCGUGAUGCAGAACUAUUAUGUGUUGGUGACUUGCAGAUGUAAUCGGUU